GCCAUGCAUGCUUUCGAAUAAGAGGUAGCAAUUCUCUCUGAAUCUGCGAACGGCUCCGCACACCAGUUGUAAACUAUAGCAAGCAUGCUCUCUGUUCGGUCUUCACGGGCCGGGUGGGGGGCGAUAGGGAUAACCCUGGUAAUUCUGAGGCUAAUACAUGAACGCAACACCUGACUGACCGGGCAACUGGGAUGUUGGGGGACGUGUGAUUGAGUCGCAAGGAUGACUGGGAAAGGAUGCACGUUCUGACCGCGACAAAAACGGAUCGGCUUCGGUCGGCCCGAGCGGCUCUUGCAAUGUGCUUCUGACCUAUCAACUAGAUGGCAGCGUAACGGACAUGCUAUGGUUGCAACGGGUACAGAGGAUUAGGGUUCGAUCCUGGAGAGUGGGCCUGAGAGAUUGCUCACACUUCUAAGGAAGGCAGCAGGCGCGCAACGUUCCCCUUGGACAAUGUUCGAGGGCGUUAGGGGACAUAUGGAUGCUUGCCAAUGGUAGGCAAUUCAAAUGGGACUGUUCUAAACAGCCUAUCGAGUAACUU
rnacentral:rRNA from 1 species